UCUCAAAGAUUAAGCCAUGCAUGUCUAAGUAUAAGCAAUUAUACAGCGAAACUGCGAAUGGCUCAUUAAAUCAGUUAUCGUUUAUUUGAUAGUACCUUACUACUUGGACAACCGUGGUAAUUCUAGAGCUAAUACAUGCUGAAAACCCCGACUUUCGGAGGGGUGUAUUUAUUAGAUUAAAAACCAAUGCCCUCCGGGGCUCCAGGGUGAUUCACGAUAACUUCUCGGAUCGCACGGCCUUGUGCCGGCGAUGGUUCAUUCAAAUUUCUGCCCUAUCAACUUUCGAUGGCUGGGUCUUGGCCAGCCAUGGUGACAACGGGUAACGGAGGGUUAGGGCUCGACCCCGGAGAAGGGGCCUGAGAGACGGCCACUACAUCCAAGGAAGGCAGCAGGCGCGCAAAUUACCCAAUCCCGAUUCGGGGAGGUAGUGACAAUAAAUACUGAUACAGGGCUCUUUUGGGUCUUGUAAUUGGAAGAGUACAAUUUAAGUCCCUUAACGAGGAACAGUUGGAGGGCAAGUUG
rnacentral:rRNA from 1 species